UACGUAGGGGGCAAGCGUUGUCCGGAUUUAUUGGGCGUAAAGAGCUCGUAGGCGGUUCGGCAAGUCGGGUGUGAAACCUCCAGGCUCAACCUGGAGACGCCACCCGAUACUGCUGUGACUAGAGUCCGGUAGGGGAGCGUGGAAUUCCUGGUGUAGCGGUGAAAUGCGCAGAUAUCAGGAGGAACACCAGCGGCGAAGGCGGCGCUCUGGGCCGGAACUGACGCUGAGGAGCGAAAGCGUGGGUAGCAAACAGG
rnacentral:rRNA from 1 species